CAAGAACAAACACACCUGAGAGACACGAGAGGACACGGAUCUGCUCCGCAACCAACGCCUCUCUAUCAGUUCUGAAUCCUUUGGUUGUUGGUGUACCUGAGCGUACAGGUGAAGCAAGGUCACCGCGUUUCACCGAGCGACGGCGUCUGCUGUCUCCUAGCAACGGGAAUCUGGGAGUGUUUGGAGUUUGUCCAGGAGUGACUUUUAUCGCGGCAUUCCAAUGGAAUGAGUCACGUUGUCAUGGCAACAGGCACGCUGUCUUAGCCGGAGCAGCGGCCGGUGAAUGA
rnacentral:lncRNA from 1 species